UAAUAAACAAGCAGAGAUAACAACAAUCUAAUAAUCUUUUUCUUUUUUCUUAUAAACAAUAAAAAUUCUGCUGUCGAAUAUGUACAUAUGUAAGUUUGUAUCAGGUGAUUAUUUGAAUUGAAAAUAAAUACAAAAUAAUUAAUUGUUUUAUUACAACUAAAAACAAAUUAAUUAUUGAGGUAUGUAUGGACGGAGGAGCAUUUCAACAUUUUUAUAUAUGAAAAACAACAAUGACCUAUUCUAUGUUCAAUGUCCAUUUGUUGAAUCUGAAGCCAAAGCCAAAGCCAAAGCUAGAGCUAAGGGAAAAACCCCCACAAAAUGUUGCUUUAAUUCAUGCGUUUUAUUUUCUUAUAGUUGCUGUAAGUUUUAUGAGUUGUUUAUAAAAUUUUAUCAUUGGCGUUGGCGGCUGACGGUUGACGGGCAUCGGCAGUGAGCACUGGGCACUGGGGCUGAGUUGUGGCUAUGGCUAGGCUAUGGUGGCGACAAGGCGGCGCGGCGGCGAUUGCGAGACGUGAAUGGAGUCUUCCGGCUGAUACGUGGUUUGUGGACUCUGAGAUGUAGGUUCAGCGGCUUUAAUAGUAGAAAAGAAUGUAGGCGAAUGACUUUUAUUAAAGGAAUUUUGUUUUCAUCUCUCAUUCUUGGUCUCGCAAAGCGAAAUCAACGGAGUUUUAUCGAAAGGGGUUUACAUUGCAGUUCAUCGGAAUAGGUACAUGUCUGGAAGUUGUUGAAGUUCAUUUUUGAAUUACUUGUUGUCUUGAACCUGAUUUAUACUUAUGUACCUAUGCAUGACACUAUUGCCCCCAUUAUGAGUAGCGAAGAGAACGUUCGCUAAAGUUCGAAUGUAAAAGCGAAUUUAUUUUUUUAAUUGUAUUGUCUUAGCGAGUUUAGCCAUUUGCUUAAAAUAUCAAUGGUGCCAACAUUAUUUCAUUGCAAAAAAAAAGCAAAUGAAACGUUAAAUAAUUACUAUCAAUUGGUAUUUUAUUUCUGAGAUUCUGUUUUUAUCUUCUGAUUUACUUAUUAAAAAAACAAUGAUAAUUUAAACAA